rnacentral:rRNA from 1 species
AGUGAACGCUGGCGGUAGGCCUAACACAUGCAAGUCGAACGGCAGCACAGUAAGAGCUUGCUCUUACGGGUGGCGAGUGGCGGACGGGUGAGGAAUACAUCGGACUCUACUUUUUCGUGGGGGAUAACGUAGGGAAACUUACGCUAAUACCGCAUACGACCUACGGGUGAAAGCAGGGGAUCUUCGGACCUUGCGCGAUUGAAUGAGCCGAUGUCGGAUUAGCUAGUUGGCGGGGUAAAGGCCCACCAAGGCGACGAUCCGUAGCUGGUCUGAGAGGAUGAUCGGCCACACUGGAACUGAGACACGGUCCAGACUCCUGCGAGAGGCAGCAGUGGGGAAUAUUGGGCAAUGGGGGCAAGCCUGAUCCAGCCAUACCGCGUGGGUGAAGAAGGCCUUCGGGUUGUAAAGCCCUUUUGUUGGGAAAGAAAAGCAGCAGGUUAAUACCCCGCUGUUCUGACGGUACCCAAAGAAUAAGCACCGGCCAACUUCGUG